rnacentral:rRNA from 1 species
AAACUCUCUCAUGCUAGAGUGUACUGGAGGUACGUGGNNCGUGUGGUG